GGAACGCGCCAAGGAACUCAAACUGAAUUGCACGUCAUUUCAUAACAUAAAUGACUCUCGGCAACGGAUAUCUCGGCUCUCGCAUCGAUGAAGAACGUAGCGAAAUGCGAUACUUGGUGUGAA
rnacentral:rRNA from 1 species